AAUAAACAUAUCAGCCUUUCAGUCCUCCAUCUGAAAACAGUCGGAUUCAUCAGUGACUUCUUCUCUCAGAUUUGCACUGAUUUCUGACUACUUUGGAAACCUGCAGGACAGACCUGGCUCAGUGAAGAUGUGUCUGAAGAUGGACUCUGAGCUCUUAACAGACUUGAGGAGGAAGCAUUUGACAAGGAUCUGCUCCAAUCUGGUGGACAUGGAGGCUCAGACUGUUUCUGGGAUCAAGGCACAGCACAGCAGGAAGUCCAUCCACACAUAAAGAAGAAAGAUUUCCAGCCCUGAAUUUAUUGAUGGAUGGUCUUCACAAUACUUUCAAACUCAGAAAAUUAUAGGUUUGAUUAAGGAGCGCACAAAAAUUUCUCAAAUUAAAUUUGAAGCUAUUAUGAUAAUCAAUCUUUUAUUCUUGUUGUUAUAUGAUGACGUUUAGUGUUCAAAACAAAACAGCUUGUGUUAAUUAUGUUUGCAGGAUCAGUUCACACUCGGAGGACAAAGCAUCACUUUUCAAAAGGGUGAAAGGAAAGAAUGAACCACUGACACCCUGAUGGUAGAAAUGUUUUCUUGUCUAGUCUGACAUGCAGGUGAUUUUAUUUUUGCAGAUUCAG